rnacentral:rRNA from 1 species
AUUGAACGCUGGCGGCAGGCCUAACACAUGCAAGUCGAGCGGAUGAAGGGAGCUUGCUCCUGGAUUCAGCGGCGGACGGGCGAGUAAUGCCUAGGAAUCUGCCUGGUAGUGGGGGAUAACGUCCGGAAACGGGCGCUCAUACCGCAUACGUCCUGAGGGCGUAAGUGGGGGAUCUUCGGACCUCACGCUAUCAGAUGAGCCUAGGUCGGAUUAGCUAGUUGGUGGGGUAAAGGCCUACCAAGGCGACGAUCCGUAACUGGUCUGAGAGGAUGAUCAGUCACACUGGAACUGAGACACGGUCCAGACUCCUACGGGAGGCAGCAGUGGGGAAUAUUGGACAAUGGGCGAAAGCCUGAUCCAGCCAUGCCGCGUGUGUGAAGAAGGUCUUCGGAUUGUAAAGCACUUUAAGUUGGGAGGAAGGGCAGUAAGUUAAUACCUUGCUGUUUUGACGUUACCAACAGAAUAAGCACCGGCUAACUUCGUG